rnacentral:rRNA from 1 species
CCUGCCUCAUAGACUGGGACAACUAUUGGAAACGAUAGCUAAUACCGGAUAACAGCAUUAACUGCAUGGUUGAUGUUUAAAAGUUGGUUUUGCUAACACUAUGAGAUGGCUUUGCGGUGCAUUAGCUAGUUGGUGGGGUAAAGGGCCUACCAAGGCGACGAUGCAUAGCCGACCUGAGAGGGUGAUCGGCCACACUGGGACUGAGACACGGCCCAGACUCCUACGGGAGGCAGCAGAU